UGAUCCAAGGAGAGCGGGGUAGCUUGCGAAUGCGUCCCGUGCGAAAAUGGCACCCGUGUGGGAGAGGUCGUGGAGUGGUGGUAACUAAUAUUGUCAGGUUAAAUAAGUUGUUACAGAUGUCCGUGCCGAAGCUGGCUGCGAUGUUCCGGUCCCACCGCACGUGCAGCCUGCUCGAGUCGGACGACCGUGCACUACCGCAGAAGUGAUAUGAGCGCUGGACUAUGGAGUACUGGAGCGGAUGGUCGGGCGCGGCUGGCGGCGGCGCCGGCGGCAGGCCGCCGAGCCGCGUCCCUCGCUCCUCCAUCACACACAGCAGAUGCACGCGUACGCCAGCGUCAGGUCUGUGUCCAGCUCGGGGCGGGAGCGUGCGGCGCAGGCGGCCGGCUUCCCCGCCCCCUACCAACACGUGCUGCAGGACCACAACUACGGCGCGCCGCCGCCCCGCUCGCCCGAGCCGCUGGAGCCUCCACCGCCACCGCCGCCGCCUCUGCAGCCUCCGCCCAUGCCCACGGGCGUCGUGGCC